CCUACGGGAGGCAGCAGUGGGGAAUUUUGGACAAUGGGCGCAAGCCUGAUCCAGCAAUGCCGCGUGCAGGAUGAAGGCCUUCGGGUUGUAAACUGCUUUUGUACGGAACGAAAAAGUCUGCCCUAAUACGGUGGGCCCAUGACGGUACCGUAAGAAUAAGCACCGGCUAACUACGUGCCAGCAGCCGCGGUAAUACGUAGGGUGCGAGCGUUAAUCGGAAUUACUGGGCGUAAAGCGUGCGCAGGCGGUUAUAUAAGACAGAUGUGAAAUCCCCGGGCUCAACCUGGGACCUGCAUUUGUGACUGUAUAGCUAGAGUACGGUAGAGGGGGAUGGAAUUCCGCGUGUAGCAGUGAAAUGCGUAGAUAUGCGGAGGAACACCGAUGGCGAAGGCAAUCCCCUGGACCUGUACUGACGCUCAUGCACGAAAGCGUGGGGAGCAAACAGGAUUAGAUACCCUGGUAGUCCACGCCCUAAACGAUGUCAACUGGUUGUUGGGGUCUUCACUNACUCAGUAACGAAGACGAACGACGUGAAGUUAGACCGCCGCGGGAGGGUAACGGUCCGGCGAAGGUUAGUAAACGUUAACGAAAGGAAAGUUAGUUACGGCGUGAGGACGUUGCCGAACGGACGACCGACGAGGGGAAGGGAGGAG
rnacentral:rRNA from 1 species